UGAAACUAUAUAUGUUAAGUUGUCAGUUCCGUAUUGACAUAAACUCUGAAAACAAAAUAAUAAGAUUAACAUGCAAUAAAGAUGCAGUGCUCACUCUACAGUUAAUGAGUAGGGGAAACAUGCAUGCAUUUGUUUUUGACAAAAAUAAACAGUUCCGCUAAUCAAGUAUCACCUAGAUGCAGGCAUUUAAUGUUUUUCAAUUCUUUUGCAUUUCUUCUUUUAACACAUAAUAACAUGAAUCCAUUUUUUAUAUUGCUGAUAGCAAAUUCGUCACAUCAUCAUCCUGUCCCAUCUUGAACUUGAGAAGAAAAUGAGACCUAACCAAGAAAAAGGUGUCCACUCAAAGUACACUAUAUGAUUUUGCCUACUGCUCAAAAUUUCCUUCAUUUCCAUCAACAAUAAUUUUGGUGAUGAGGUGACGACCAAAAAAAUUGUUUGUAGUCCAUUACAUGAACUGUUAAGAAAUGGUCCAAAACCUGAACAUUGCAUGUUUUCUUAGCUUUUUUGUCCCAUCUGUUCUUUUAAACAUAUAAUAUUGAGCUCCAAGAUCUUUUUUUUUUCCAAGGAAGGAAAUUGCAUCAAAAGAAAGAAAAGAAUGAGAAAGAAAGAGGAAAAGGUAUCCUCCUAAGAUGAAAAGAAGAUAGAGGGGGAAAAAAAAAGAGCCCAGAUCAGAAUGAAAUGGCUCUUCCCCCAGGUCACCACAUAAGAACAAAUAACAAAUAUUUAAUUGGAGAGACCAACCUAUGGGAAAGGACAACAUGAAAGUUAAAAAUGAGGCAUGCAUGCAUUUCCUAGAGAGUGUUAACAUAAUCAAAUGGUACCAAGAAAUGGGGCCAAAAAAUAAAGAGAAUGGAGAAAUUAUGCUUUGUAUAUUCUUGAUCUUUAUUAUUGAAUAAUUAGUUAAAUUCACGGUGCAAUAAUAGGAUUUGUUUCGAGGUUCAAGAUGCAGAAAAGGUGAAGAAUAGGCAUACCAUGAUAACAAAGCUACCAAGCAAGUUUGCAAGC
rnacentral:misc_RNA from 1 species